CAGUGAGGAAUAUUGCACAAUGGGCGAAAGCCUGAUGCAGCGACGCCGCGUGGAGGAUGAAGGUCUUCGGAUUGUAAACUCCUGUCAAAUGGGAAGAAAGACCUGUCCAUAACAUGGAUGGGGGAUGACGGUACCAUUAGAGGAAGCACCGGCUAACUUCGUGCCAGCAGCCGCGGUAAUACGAGGGGUGCAAGCGUUAUUCGGAAUUACUGGGCGUAAAGGGUGUGUAGGUGGUGUAUUAAGUCUGUUGUUAAAUCUCCUGGCCUAACCGGGAAAUCGCAAUGGAAACUAGUAUGCUAGAGUGUGAGAGAGAGGAGUGGAAUUCUCGGAGUAGCGGUAAAAUGCGUAGAUAUCGAGAGGAACACCGAUGGCGAAAGCAGCUCCUUGGCUCACUACUGACACUGAAACACGAAAGCGUGGGGAGCAAACAGGAUUAGA
rnacentral:rRNA from 1 species